rnacentral:rRNA from 2 species
CAAGGGUUGGGCUGUUCGCCCAUUAAAGCGGUACGUGAGCUGGGUUCAGACCGUUGUGAAACAGGUCGGUCUCUAUCCGCUGUGGGCGUUGGGAAUUUGCAGGGUGCUGCCCCUAGUACGAGAGGACCGGGGCGGACGCAGCGCUCGUGUACCGGUUGUCGCGCCAGCGGCAUCGCCGGGUAGCGAUCUGCGGUCGGGAUAACCGCUGAAAGCAUCUAAGUGGGAAGCCCACCUUAAGAUAAGAUUCCCCAUCCCCUUUGAGGGAGUAAGGCCGCUGGGAGACUACCAGCUGGAUAGGCGGGCGGUGGAAGCGCAGUAAUGUGUGUAGCCUACCCGUACUAAUGGCCGAGGGCUUUCUCUU